rnacentral:misc_RNA from 1 species
UCAAAGUCAGUGGAGCCCUAGCUAGCUGCGUUUACACCCAAGUCUUUUGUGUGCGUACCUAUCGUUUCCUCGGCGGGCGUAAGCCUGCCGAAUUGGACAACUUAUAACCUUUUGUAAUCUGCAAUCAGCGUCAUUACAAUAUACUAAUAUUA